rnacentral:rRNA from 1 species
AGUGAACGCUGGCGGUAGGCCUAACACAUGCAAGUCGAACGGCAGCACAGUAAGAGCUUGCUCUUACGGGUGGCGGGUGGCGGACGGGUGAGGAAUACAUCGGAAUCUACUUUUUCGUGGGGGAUAACGUAGGGAAACUUACGCUAAUACCGCAUACGACCUACGGGUGAAAGCAGGGGAUCUUCGGACCUUGCGCGAUUGAAUGAGCCGAUGUCGGAUUAGCUAGUUGGCGGGGUAAAGGCCCACCAAGGCGACGAUCCGUAGCUGGUCUGAGAGGAUGAUCAGCCACACUGGAACUGAGACACGGUCCAGACUCCUACGGGAGGCAGCAGUGGGGAAUAUUGGACAAUGGGCGCAAGCCUGAUCCAGCCAUACCGCGUGGGUGAAGAAGGCCUUCGGGUUUUAAAGCCCUUUUGUUGGGAAAGAAAAGCAGCAGGUUAAUACCCCGCUGUUCUGACGGUACCCAAAGAAUAAGCACCGGCUAACUUCGUG